rnacentral:lncRNA from 1 species
UGGCUCUGUCUGAGGUCCCUUUGUUCAGGUCUCUUCUGAAGAAAGGCACCAGAGGCUCCAGCUCUGGCCAUAAUGCCCCAGAUGAAGCUUGACAGGAGAACUGGACACAACAGGCCAGAAUAUGCAUUCCAGGAGAGCAGGGAUAUUUGUUUUGUUCCCCGAUGUAUCCCCUGGAUCUAGCACAGGACUGGCAGGUUUCCCUAGGAUCACCAGCUGUCAUGGACUGAUUUGUGUCUCUCCAAAUUCAUAUGUUGAAUACUUAACCUGCCAUGCGAUUGUGAUUGGAGAUAAUUCCUUUAGGGAAGCAAUGAAGGUUAAAUGAGGUCAUAGGUGGGAGCUUAAUCCAAUGGGACUGGGGUCCCUACAAGAAGAGGAAGACACCAGAGCUCUCUGUCUCCACACACAGAGAAAAGAGGCUGUAUGAGGACACAAGAGAAGGUAAUAGCUGUCUACAAACCAAGAAGAGAAGCCUCUCCAGAAAAUGAACCCUGCUGGAACUUGGUCUUGGACUUUCCAGCCUCCAGAACUGGGAGAAAAUAAAGUUCAAAAUAAAGUUCUG